GGUACGAGCGCUCGGUGGUCAGAGCGAUCCAGAAUGGUUGGUUAGUCCCCGGUUCGAAUCCAGGUCGUACCC